UCAUCUAAUUGACAUGAUCACGAAGUUGGAAUUGGUGGUGGAAUUAAAACAACAGAUUUGCGAGGAAGAGCAUUAAGUAAAUACUCGGGGAAAAGGUGACUGUUGUGGCGCAUGAAGUGGCAGAAAUUAACUGCGUUAUUUUAGUUGAUAGAUCUUUAAGUGACAGUUAUCAUAAAAGCCAACAUGUUCGAGUAAGUGUCUUUGAGUAUGUUUCACUCAUAUGAUAAUACUUUAUGCUACUUUGUGCCAAUUUAUUUACAUGGACUAACUUUUAUAAAUUAUUCAACAUCUUGUAGAACUGAUGGUCUACCGUGUUAGAUAUAUAGCGUGAAGAGGCAUUGUGAUCACCAAGGACGAAUGGUAUCCAUUAACAAGGAUGGGGUCUCUCGACUGAAGAUUAAUAAAUAUUACAUUUAUUAGUUUUUUUAGUUAGAGUUUUCUAGUACAUUGGUCAUCGAGUGAGUGUUGCUGACUCAUAUUUCUUAACUGUAUUGUAAUUCCAGAAUUGUAUGUGGUAAUAUGUUUAGGUUAUCUGAUAUCUAUCAAUAAAAUGAGGCUAUGGCCUUUCAUUAUUCAGAUAUUUGUUGUUGUAAAAUUGAUGUGGAUGCCAAUCUUCAA
rnacentral:lncRNA from 1 species